UGUGGUACACCUGUGCACCAGUGAGCCCUCCGCAGCUCAUCUAAGCCCCCACAUCACCAGGAACAAUACCCGCAGUAAAUUACACUCCGACAUGGUCUCAUCAGUGGUGGAAACCAUGGCUACCACCAUGUAAGCACCGGAAAAGGCUUCAGCUCGCACCGACAUCCCUCAUCAAACUCCGGUCAGCCCGGCACAAAAAGACAAAAGCGGGGGAAGAGCGCUUUCUCCAUCAAAUGCGAGGGAGGCGGCGGCCGCUUGGACACGCUGAGACCUUGAAUAAUCAAAGUUGAUGAGGCAGUUAGUUGCGAAUGGUUUUUCCAGGAGUGGUGGCCAUGAUUAAUCAAGGAACUGAGCAGCGCCGGCCUCUUCACCCGCACACAUUACAAGCAGGUUCUCUGCUGGGAGUAAUGAGUCACGUCAGCGGCUUUCUGCUUGCAGCGCCGCAGCCCCGCGGUGACGCAGGAGAAGAAUGAUGGAGUGAAGGGAGAAAAAGAGGAGAAAGAUGGAGAGAGAAAGCCCUCUGCCGGCGUUGGGUUUCAGCUUGAUGACCCACUCUCCUCCGGAGUUGCUGUUGAACAAAUCCAGAAGGUGUGUGUCGGGAUCCAGGCAGUGCUCACCUGCAGAAAACACACGACAAAUGAACGGAAUUUAAAUAUGUAAAAAAAAAAAAUCCAGGAUUCAUUUAAAAUAUCAAUCACGGCUACAACUAAGGAUUAUUAUAAUCUGCCGGAUAUGUUCUCAAUUAGCUGAUUCAUUGUUUGAACUAUUGAGUGUAAGAAGAAGCUGAAUAAUUGCUCCAAAUUAACAUCUUAAAUGUCUUAUUUAGUUUGAUACUGAGAAGCUAUAAUUGUUUAGUUUGAAAAUGAAUUAAACAGUUAAUCAAUUAUCCAAAUAGUUUUUUUUCAGCUCUAGUAUCAAAUCCGGAUGAAUAAAUCAAUAAUCUCAGAUACUUGUGCUUGGAUUCAGAAGUUUCACCUCACAAAGCUGAACUGCCUGAACAAGUUUUUUUUCCUAACUGUUCACUUUGUCAGCUUUCCUGCGAGCGCACAUACAUGUGUGUGUAAUAAGCAUUUGUCUGCUCUGAUAACUGCAGAUGCACUGCUCGUGUCUCUUUGGCGUUCGCACGGUUCAUUACGUAAGACCUCGCCACCCUCAUCGGCUCAUUGAGCAGAAAGAAAACGCUUGUAGUGUAGCCACUUCCAACUUACCAAUAUUUCCUCCCACUUCGUACAGGACACAGUCCGGAUACGCCACAGAGCCAUUUCUGUUGAGACACAUAUAACACAUUCUUUACCAUAAAGCUGGAUAACGCACAUAACAUGUCAUAACAUGUCAUAACAUGUCUUUCUGAAAGGAAAUAUUCAUCAGGGGAAAAAUGUGACGCCAUUUGUACUACUAGAAGAAGAAAAUCUGCUGUGCACAUUACGUGACAUAGUUAAAGUUGUAGUAACAUACCUUCGCAUUUUGCCCUUUCCAUUAUCGGGGCUGCGGACGGACUGGCGGUGAAACUGAGCGAGCAGGUCUGAGGCUCGGGAGUUGAUGUUGAGCUGGAACUCCAAGGUGCCGCUCACCAGAUCCCCGACCUGGAUCUUCACCGUACGGCACAGCUACAGGGGGAAAAAGAGUUAAAGAAUAUUCAUCAAUGUAAUACUUAGGAUAUUGUGUGUGUGUGCAGAUUAUAACUAAAGUGUGAAGUAUGAUUGCCCAGUAUUUGAGUUUCACAGAUAUAAUAACAAAUGUAUUUGUUCCACAGACACAAUGAAUACAAGAAUUGAGAUUUGUUGUUUGAUUGGACAUUGCUGUUGAGGGGUGUGGACUGUAAGCAGAGUGUGUAAGGGGUUGUAAAGCAGCUCACCUCCAAGAUGUUUUUUUCGGGUUUGUCGCGGCUGUCUGUGUGGAUCUUCCUCAGCAGGUUCUUGAUGCGCCGAUCGUAGAACUGGUAACGCCGGUUACUGUUCUCAUUCAGCUUACGCACCUGGCUCAUGAGGAAAUUAGGGAUCUGAAGAGAAAAGGGAACAUGACGCAACAUGUGUGAUGGAUGUAUUUAACUGCCAGGACAUAUGUCUACA